UAUGGAUAUUCACUUAAGAUCAAUCUAGAAUAGUCCUCUUUGGUGUUGAUCUUUCUUCUUUAAGAAUAAUCACCAUGCAAAUUUGAACGAAGCUUGGAUCGUGAUCAACUCUUUAAUCCUUUCAUUGAUUUUUUUUCUUUUCUUCUCUUACUCUUCUUUCCUUGAUUAUGAAGCAACUAAAGUCCAAAAACUAGCAAAGAAAAGAAGACGCCCAAGCUCCUCUUGGGCAUGGAGAUGGAAGAUGCCUAACU
rnacentral:lncRNA from 1 species